AUUUCUCUAGUAUAAAUAGUACAAUUGACUUCCAAUCAAAAAGAUUGAUAAAUUUCAAGAAAAAUA
rnacentral:tRNA from 1 species